rnacentral:ncRNA from 1 species
CUUACGGUGGAUACCUAGGCACCUAGAGAUUUGGAAGGGCAUGGUAAGCGACGAAAUGCUUCGAGGAGUUGAAAAUGAGCAUAGAUCCGGAGAUUCCCGAAUAGGUUAACCUUUUUAACUACUGCUUAAUCCAUGGGCAGGCAAGAGACAACCUGAAAAACUGAAACAUCUUAGUAGCCAGAGGAAUAUAAAGAAAAAGUGAUUCCCAUAGUAGCAGCAAGCGAAAUGGGAGCAGCCUAAACCGUGAAAACGGGGUUGUGGGAGAGCACAAUAUAAGCUAUGUGCUGCUAGGUGAAGUGGUUGAGUCCUGCACCCUAGAUGGUGAGAGUCCAGUAUCAAAAAUCAUCAUUGGGUUACACUCUAACCCGAGUAGAAUGGGGCAUGUGGAAUCCCGUGUGAAUCAGCAAGGACCACCUUACAAGGAUAAAUACUCCUGGGUGACCGAUAGCAAAGUAGUAUCGUGAGGGAAAGGUGAAAGAACCCCCAUCGAGGAGUGAAAUAGAACAUGAAACCAUACG